AUUGAACGCUGGCGGCAGGCCUAACACAUGCAAGUCGAGCGGAUGAAGGGAGCUUGCUCCUGGAUUCAGCGGCGGACGGGUGAGUAAUGCCUAGGAAUCUGCCUGGUAGUGGGGGAUAACGUCCGGAAACGGGCGCUAAUACCGCAUACGUCCUGAGGGAGAAAGUGGGGGAUCUUCGGACCUCACGCUAUCAGAUGAGCCUAGGUCGGAUUAGCUAGUUGGUGGGGUAAAGGCCUACCAAGGCGACGAUCCGUAACUGGUCUGAGAGGAUGAUCAGUCAAACUGGAACUGGAACACGGUCCAGACCCCCACGGGGGGCAGCAGGGGGGAAAUUUGGACAAUGGGGGAAAGCCUGAUCCAGCCAGGCCGGGGUGGUGAAGAAGGUCUUCGGAUUGUAAAGCACUUUAAGUUGGGAGGAAGGGCAGUAAGUUAAUACCUUGCUUUUUUGACGUUACCAACAGAAUAAGCAGCGGCUAACUUCGU
rnacentral:rRNA from 1 species